ensembl:antisense Gm28192 predicted gene 28192
AAAGGAGAGUUCUCAUCGGUGCACGACAGACUGAAGACCACUGGAAGCCACCCGACCGGGAAUCUGUCGGAGCCAAAGCACAGUACAAGGACAGGAAGAUGGGAAAGAAAGGGCAUGCAAGCAAAGAAACUGCAGAGCUGUGCUCCUGUAGAUCCGAGUGGAGCAGCGACACUUGCUCCCAGCCUCCCUUCCUAGAGAGAACAGGCACACCCCUUAGGGAAGACGGAAAAAUUCUUAUGGACACUUCCAAGAGUGCACAUAUGUGUUAAACAAAGCAGAUCUCCCAGCAGCACAACCCCCACCAAAGCUCAAGCCCCUGAUGGAAGGAAGGAACCACCAAAUACCAUGUGGCCAACAAGAAAGGAGCUCAGCGUGGACACCCAGCCAUGCACUGACGGCAGGGUAGCAGGCGGCUGUGGCUGGAUUAAUACAGACAACAGCUGCAUGGACAAGAUGACUGGGCAGGUACCAAGUUUGGAAAGAAACACAAAAUGAGGACAAAGAUAAAUGAAAGAGGAAGAGGGAUGACUAAAAAAGCCAGGAUGAGCACAGACCACCGGGAGUCUGCAUGUAGCAAGAGCUCAAGAAAGCCCAACACCAAGCAUGGACCACUCAGCUGAGUACAACAGACACAUGUGCUCGGCCCAGAGCCAGGACUGGGGGCAGUUCCAGCAUACUGAAUACAAUUACAGGAGGUCAGAGGACAAAGGCACAGCAGGAUGGUUCUCUAAGGUCACUCAGUCCAGAGAUUCUAAGGAUGCCACUGAUUCCCCCAGAC